GAACGAGGAUAUAUCCUUCGGGAUAUAAGCCGAGUGGCGCAAGGGUGAGUAAUGCAUAGAUUACCUGCCUCUAGGAUAAGGACAACUUUGUGAAAACGAAGCUAAUACUUAAUAAUACAAAAGAAAAUAAUUUUCCUUUGUCAAAGGGAGGGUAGCAAUACCUUUUGCCUAGAGAGGGGUUUAUGUCCUAUCAGCUUGUUGGUGGGGUAAUGGCCUACCAAGGCGAAGACGGGUAGCCGGUCUUAGAGGAUGGUCGGCCACACUGGGACUGAGACACUGCCCAGACUUCUACGGAAGGCUGCAGUCGAGAAUCUUUCGCAAUGCCCGAAAGGGUGACGAAGCGACGCCGCGUGAGUGAGGAAGGCCUUAGGGUUGUAAAGCUCUGUCAGGAGUUAAGAAAUAUAAGUGUGUUAAUACCACAUUUAUUUGACGAAGGCUCCAAAGGAAGCCACGGCUAACUCUGUGCCAGCAGCCGCGGUAAUACAGAGGUGGCAAGCGUUGUUCGGAAUUAUUGGGCGUAAAGAGCACGUAGGUGGGUUUGUAAGUCAGAUGUGAAAGCCUUCUGUUCAACGGAAGAAUUGCAUCUGAAACUAUAAGUCUUGAGUGUAGGAGGGGAGAAUGGAACUUCUGGUGGAGCGGUGAAAUGCGUAGAUAUCAGAAGGAACGCCGGCGGCGAAAGCGAUUCUCUGGCCUAUUACUGACGCUCAGUGUGCGAAAGCUAGGGGAGCAAACGGGAUUAGAUACCCCGGUAGUCCUAGCUGUAAACGAUGGGCACUAAGUAGAGGGGAUUACCGAUGUUCUCUCUGCCGUAGCUAACGCAUUAAGUGCCCCGCCUGGGGAGUACGGCCGCAAGGCUAAAACUCAAAAGAAUUGACGGGGGCUCGCACAAGCGGUGGAGCAUGUGGCUUAAUUCGAUGCAACGCGAAAAACCUUACCGGGGCUUGACAUGGUAGAAGUAGGAACCCGAAAGGGUAACGAACGGUAUCCAGUCCGUAGCUAUCACAGGUGUUGCAUGGCUGUCGUCAGCUCGUGUCGUGAGACGUUGGGUUAAGUCCCCUAACGAGCGAAACCCUUGUUUUUAGUUACCAGCGGGUUAUGCCGGGUACUCUAGAAAGACUGCCGUCGUCAAGACGGAGGAAGGUGGGGAUGACGUCAAGUCAUCAUGGCCCUUAUGCCCCGGGCUGCACACGUGCUACAAUGGUCGGUACAAACGGAAGCGAAGCCGAGAGGUGAAGCGAAUCCUAAAAAGCCGAUCUCAGUUCGGAUUGGAGGCUGAAAUUCGCCUCCAUGAAGUUGGAAUCGCUAGUAAUCGCGGAUCAGCAAUGCCGCGGUGAAUAUGUUCCCGAGCCUUGUACACACCGCCCGUCAAGCCACCCAAGCAGGAUGCACCCGAAAACAUUAUAUCUAACCAGGGCAACUUGGAGGAAAGUGUUGAAGGAGUGUUUUGUGAGGAGGACU
rnacentral:rRNA from 1 species